UACGUAGGGGGCAAGCGUUACCCGGAUUUACUGGGCGUAAAGCGCGUGUAGGCGGCAGGUCAAGCGUGGUGUGAAAUCUCCGGGCUCAACCCGGAAACUGCAUUGCGAACUGGCCGGCUAGAGUGCAGGAGAGGGAAGCGGAAUUCUCGGUGUAGCGGUGAAAUGCGUAGAUAUCGAGAGGAACACCAGUGGCGAAGGCGGCUUCCUGGCCUGUAACUGACGCUGAGACGCGAAAGCGUGGGGAGCGAACCGG
rnacentral:rRNA from 2 species